GUAAUGUCUGGGAAACGUGCCUGAUGGAGGGGGAGUAACUACUGGAAACGGUAGCUAAUACCGCAUAACGUCGCAAGACCAAAGAGGGGGACCGUUCGGGCCUCUUGCCAUCAGAUGUGCCCAGAUGGGAUUAGCUAGUAGGUGGGGUAACGGCUCACCUAGGCGACGAUCCCUAGCUGGUCUGAGAGGAUGACCAGCCACACUGGAACUGAGACACGGUCCAGACUCCUACGGGAGGCAGCAUG
rnacentral:rRNA from 1 species